rnacentral:rRNA from 1 species
GAUGAACGCUGGCGGCGUGCCUAAUACAUGCAAGUCGAGCGAACGGACGAGAAGCUUGCUUCUCUGAUGUUAGCGGCGGACGGGUGAGUAACACGUGGAUAACCUACCUAUAAGACUGGGAUAACUUCGGGAAACCGGAGCUAAUACCGGAUAAUAUUUUGAACCGCAUGGUUCAAAAGUGAAAGACGGUCUUGCUGUCACUUAUAGAUGGAUCCGCGCUGCAUUAGCUAGUUGGUAAGGUAACGGCUUACCAAGGCAACGAUGCAUAGCCGACCUGAGAGGGUGAUCGGCCACACUGGAACUGAGACACGGUCCAGACUCCUACGGGAGGCAGCAGUAGGGAAUCUUCCGCAAUGGGCGAAAGCCUGACGGAGCAACGCCGCGUGAGUGAUGAAGGUCUUCGGAUCGUAAAACUCUGUUAUUAGGGAAGAACAUAUGUGUAAGUAACUGUGCACAUCUUGACGGUACCUAAUCAGAAAGCCACGGCUAACUACGUGCCAGCAGCCGCGGUAAUACGUAGGUGGCAAGCGUUAUCCGGAAUUAUUGGGCGUAAAGCGCGCGUAGGCGGUUUUUUAAGUCUGAUGUGAAAGCCCACGGCUCAACCGUGGAGGGUCAUUGGAAACUGGAAAACUUGAGUGCAGAAGAGGAAAGUGGAAUUCCAUGUGUAGCGGUGAAAUGCGCAGAGAUAUGGAGGAACACCAGUGGCGAAGGCGACUUUCUGGUCUGUAACUGACGCUGAUGUGCGAAAGCGUGGGGAUCAAACAGGAUUAGAUACCCUGGUAGUCCACGCCGUAAACGAUGAGUGCUAAGUGUUAGGGGGUUUCCUCCCCUUAGUGCUGCAGCUAACGCAUUAAGCACUCCGCCUGGGGAGUACGACCGCAAGGUUGAAACUCAAAGGAAUUGACGGGGACCCGCACAAGCGGUGGAGCAUGUGGUUUAAUUCGAAGCAACGCGAAGAACCUUACCAAAUCUUGACAUCCUUUGACAACUCUAGAGAUAGAGCCUUCCUCUUCGGGGGACAAAGUGACAGGUGGUGCAUGGUUGUCGUCAGCUCGUGUCGUGAGAUGUUGGGUUAAGUCCCGCAACGAGCGCAACCCUUAAGCUUAGUUGCCAUCAUUAAGUUGGGCACUCUAAGUUGACUGCCGGUGACAAACCGGAGGAAGGUGGGGAUGACGUCAAAUCAUCAUGCCCCUUAUGAUUUGGGCUACACACGUGCUACAAUGGACAAUACAAAGGGCAGCGAAACCGCGAGGUCAAGCAAAUCCCAUAAAGUUGUUCUCAGUUCGGAUUGUAGUCUGCAACUCGACUACAUGAAGCUGGAAUCGCUAGUAAUCGUAGAUCAGCAUGCUACGGUGAAUACGUUCCCGGGUCU